rnacentral:rRNA from 1 species
AGUGAACGCUGGCGGUAGGCCUAACACAUGCAAGUCGAACGGCAGCACAGUAAGAGCUUGCUCUUACGGGUGGCGAGUGGCGGACGGGUGAGUAAUACAUCGGAUUCUACUUUUUCGUGGGGGCUAACGUAGGGAAACUUACGCUAAUACCGCAUACGACCUACGGGUGAAAGCAGGGGAUCUUCUGACCUUGCGCGAUUGAAUGAGCCGAUGUCGGAUUAGCUAGUUGGCGGGGUAAAGGCCCACCAAGGCGACGAUCCGUAGCUGGUAUGAGAGGAUGAUCAGACACACUGGAACUGAGACACGGUCCAGACUCCUACGGGAGGCAGCAGUGGGGAAUAUUGGACAAUGGGCGCGAGCCUGAUACAGCAAUACCGCGUGGGUGAAGAAGGACUUCGGGUUGUAAAGCCAUUUUGUUGGGAAAGAAAAGCAGCAGGUUAAUACCCCGCUGUUAUGACGGUACCCAAAGAAUAAGCUCCGGCUAACUUCGUG